rnacentral:rRNA from 1 species
UACGGAGGGUGCGAGCGUUAAUCGGAAUUACUGGGCGUAAAGGGUGCGUAGGUGGUUGACUAAGUUAUCUGUGAAAUUCCUGGGCUUAACCUGGGCAGGUCAGAUGAUACUGGUUGACUCGAGUAUGGGAGAGGGUAGUGGAAUUUCCGGUGUAGCGGUGAAAUGCGUAGAGAUCGGAAGGAACACCAGUGGCGAAGGCGGCUACCUGGCCUAAUACUGACACUGAGGCACGAAAGCGUGGGGAGCAAACAG